rnacentral:rRNA from 1 species
GACGUAGGGCGCGGGCGUUGUCCGGAUUUAUUGGGCGUAAAGAGCUCGUAGGCGGCUUGUCGCGUCGACUGUGAAAACCCGCGGCUCAACUGCGGGCCUGCAGCCGAUACGGGCAGGCUAGAGUUCGGUAGGGGAGACUGGAAUUCCUGGUGUAGCGGUGAAAUGCGUAGAUAUCUGGAGGAAUACCGGUGGCGAAGGCGGCAUCCUGGACCGACAUCGACGCUGAACGGCGAAAGCUAGGGGAGCAAACGGG